rnacentral:lncRNA from 1 species
GGAUAGAAAAUAAAACGAGCAAAAAAGUCAUGGAAAGACAAUGAAAAAAAGGAAAGGUGUGAUCGGGAAAAGAGGGAUGAACGGAAUCGGAGGAAAACAACUUUUUCCAGUGAAAUUUUCGCCGGAAUCACCAUCUUCACCGGCGACUAAAUGGUUCUAGUGUCACCCAUGCCCCUCUCCCAGACCCCAUCGUCCCCUUCUCCCCUCUCCGAUGCCAAAUC